rnacentral:rRNA from 1 species
GUGCCUAAUACAUGCAAGUCGAGCGCAGGAAACAAGUAGAUCCCUUCGGGGUGACGCUUGUGGAAUGAGCGGCGGACGGGUGAGUAACACGUGGGCAACCUACCUUGUAGACUGGGAUAACUCCGGGAAACCGGAGCUAAUACGGGAUGAUCAUUUGAAUCGCAUGAUUGAAAUGUAAAAGUGGGGAGUAAUCCUCACACUAUGAGAUGGGCCCGCGGCGCAUUAGCUAGUUGGUAAGGUAAUGGCUUACCAAGGCAACGAUGCGUAGCCGACCUGAGAGGGUGAUCGGCCACACUGGAACUGAGACACGGUCCAGACUCCUACGGGAGGCAGCAGUAGGGAAUCAUCCGCAAUGGGCGAAAGCCUGACGGUGCAACGCCGCGUGAACGAUGAAGGUUUUCGGAUCGUAAAGUUCUGUUAUGAGGGAAGAACAAGUGCCGUUCGAAUAGGGCGGCACCUUGACGGUACCUCACGAGAAAGCCCCGGCUAACUACGUG